AAAUGUCAGGUCUAACUAGUGGGAAAAUCCUGCUGUAACUUCACAUACUUGACACUGUUGUUGAAUUUAAAAAAAAAAUCAGGUCAGAAAUCAGGGAUUUUUGUUUAAUGAGAGCAGCAUUUAAAAUGAAAGUGAAUUCCAGACUACUCCUUUUAUUUCCUAAAAUUAAAGUGAAUGAGGAGGAAACUGAAUGAACUGGAUCCUGGACUGUAGCACAUCUCAAAAAACAACAACAAAGAACUACCUACUUGCAGAAGCAUCUCCAACUGAUGUUCUCCGUGUUCCUGCAGUCACUGAUGACAUCAUGACAGCUCUUUAGACAAAUUGAAGCAACAAAUGGGAACGUUGAAAAACACCUAUGUUCAGACUGAGGCUUGUAAACGGUGUCUCCUGACCAUUGAACAACGUCAGGCAGGUCCAGUAGAAACUAAUUGACCUUUGCAGUAGCUCCACGAAAAUUCACAAUGACUGCAGCAAAAGUUCUGCCCACCCGUAUUAGACAUAAUACCUGUUGCUAACGGCAACAGCUCAGUCCACUCUCCUGUCACUAUUUACAUCAUAAAGAUAUAUUACCGAGUCCCUUUACACCUGCAUUAGUAUGUGAAGCCUCUGAGGCUUUAAAGUGGCCUAUAAAGAGAAGCUUAUAUUUCCUACUCCUUCAUACAAAACUUCAAAAUGCCCUUUAAUCAAUACUCUCUAACACAGCCCUUAUGUGACUCCCAUACUUCAUGUGCUCUUCUACAUCUGUAUACAUAAACCCCACUGGAAAACUAGUGACAUGACCCACAUUCAUAAAUGAAUUGCAGCCACCAAGUGACCCAAAUAUUGUGCACCGGUUUCCAAAAUGUUUGCCACAUCUCAGCCAAUGUCUUUAAAUUGACUAUUACUGGGGAGCCCACCCUCGGAGUAACAAAACAUUCCUGACUUUAAGUGAUGGACAAGAACAAUUUGAAACAUGUGGCGUACAUUGUGAUACCAGAAUGAUGUACAUUCUUUGUGGGACGUCUAUUUUAAUACGUAUGUCAGUGUCUGAGAGGACAUGAAAAACAUCUCUCUAUAUAUUGAAUUAAAAGAGAUAUUAAUUGAAAUAAAUGUAUAUAUUAGAUCGGUUUUAAUCAUGACUUGUUUACAUGUCUGUAUGGGUCACAUGUAAUAAAUGGUGCUAAUAAAACGUAGGACGCCAACACGUGAACACCUUGAUCCCUAAUGUAAACGGAUGCAGCCCACACUUCCUGUAAAAGUCCCUGUCAAGUGAAACAACCUCAUCAGGUGAAGUGAAUAUGUUAAUCUGUGUGUUCUGACUGUUAAUGUGAGAUGGGGAAAAAGGUGGAGAUUUUGUAUGUAUCCAAUUAUGUUUUAGAAAAAAAAUCUAGAAGCUUGGCUUUUUGUGCUAACAUGCAUUAACGUCAGUCUUGCAGCCGCAGCUCCAGCUGUGGCGGUGGCUAUGUCUCAGUCAGCAGGAGUCAGCGCCCGGAUCCUGUGUCCUGCACCAACGCGAUGCUCAAACGUCUUUAAUGCACAGCCAGAGGGUGUGCUGCUGAUUCAAAACCUCUCUCCUCUUUCAUUGUAUGAUCACAACAACCAGUGACUACUUGAAAGGACUCUGACCAGAGCAGGAUCGGGAAGUACAGAAAAAAAUGGUCAGAAUCAUCGUGGAUGAGGAGAAGAAGCCUGAAAACCAACCUUAACUACUGUUAUCGUUUGUCAUAGAAAACGGAGGUGUGAUACGCAAUACUGAUGAACAGCUGUUUUUGAUUCAUUUCUGUCUCGUCCAGUGUGUCUUUUUGUCUAUUUGUCACUUAAAAAAAACUUAAACCGGUCUGAGCGCGGCCAACCUGAAAAACAGCGACGAUGCCGUACUCCCACUAAAUAUGUCACCAUGUCAUUGUUAGUCCACUGUGGGAACUUUUCCUUUGUUGCCAUUUGCAAGUAUGCUCUGUGUAAUGUUGUGUUUUAUUUCAACAUGAGUGUCACUAAAGCAGUAAGAACUUUGAAGAGAAAGGUCCUGGAAUAAAAAAAAGCUCGAUUGUGUGUCAA